UCGAAGUCCCUCCCUUGGUUCCUGCCCUGGGUCAGGCCAAAGCUGUGACUCACACCUCCCAUCGAUCCAUCCUGUUCCCUCCUGGCAGACCAAUCGUUGCACAAUCCUGCUUUGGUGAGGUCGCCUCCCUGCCUGAAAGCCUCUUGCAUCAAUCCUCGGCCCCACCCUCCUGAAAUGCCCUCCCUGGGCUCCCCAGAGCAAGCCCCUCAUUUCUGCAAGGCGGAUUCGGAUUCGCCCGAGGCUCAGUCAAGAGGACACUUGACUGCAGUUCACCCGUGAACUUGGCACGAGCAAUCGCCCGACGCCCUGGUGCCUGUUCGCCAUGCUAGGCAAACGGACCGCGCUUGGGGAAGGCGCUGGCUUACCCUUGGCACUGGUCUGAUCUCGACGAAGCAUCUCUUACAUCUCGCCCCCUGCUCUUGGAGAAGGUUCUGGCUGCCAGUGUUUUCUUUCUGCCUUCCACAGCGCGGAGAGAUCUAAGUGGGCUCCUGGGUGCGAGCUGAGCCACCGAACAACGGUCUGUGCUGCUCACCACCUCAGCGACUAUGUCGCUGCCGGGCACAGAGUGAGAUCCAGAGAAACACGCGUUCUAGUGGAAACAGACUUUCCGAAUGGGUUUCCGGCCAUCACCACGGUUUCGCAUUAGGUUCUCCACCUGGAUCCUUGGUGCUCCCCUCCUCCUUUAUGUAACCGUCAGUAGAAUAUUCCAGCUAAACAAACAGGUCUCUGAAAAGAAGCAAACUGAUGACAGGUUCUUUUAUGCUUGUAGUGCCGAAUCU